ACUUUCGGGGAUGGAGGGGAAGCCCAGGUACUCUCUGUGCUUCCUAACUGGCCGUGGAAGGGGAGGUGGAGACGGGAAGCGGCAGUCGGUUUCACUGCAGCGUCUGGGAUUCCUGCCCCGAGUUCUUCCUCAGAAACCGGCGGCGGCUGCGGACAGGGGCGGCUGGGCUGAGGGGCGGGAAGCCGCUGGCCAGCUUCACCCUCUCUCUGGGGCUCCUGCAGGGCAAGGGGAGCGGAUGUGAAGUUGUCCCUGUAGAUAUAAUUAACAGCAUUGUGGACAAGACCACAAGUUCAGAAGGAGCUUACAAAGGAGAAAUUCAUGCUGCAAAUGGUGACACUUAAGCCAAAAGCAAUAAAAUGCAUUCAUCUGGGACACUGUCGCCCUGGGGUUUAUGGCUUCCACAGGACAAUCCAAGUCUGGGCUUCAGACCUCGUCAUUCUGCCACACUGUGACCCCGAGGCAGGGCGCGCCAUAAACAGACCGGGAGGCUGCUCUGUGUGCCCUCGCUGCGGGCUGGCUGCUCUGGGAAGAACACGCAGCCCUCAACAGGGAAAUGCGAUAACUAUUCUGCUUCUUGGAAUGAUUUGCAGAUUCAUGCAUUCAAACAUUCUUCAGAUGCUGACUGGUGGUAUAUGUCACCACGUUCCCGGUGGGAUGCGACCUGGUGGUGGAAAACAGACAGCUCACUUAAACGCCAGUUCGGCCACUUACUAACCGUGUGACCUUGGGAAACUUACUUAACUUCUCUGAGCCGAAGUUUACUCACAGAAGCUGGACCCUUUGUCACGGAGCUGAACACACACACCUGGCCCAGGAGCUGGUGUCGCUGAAGGAGGAUCCAGGAGAAGGUGGGACAGCUGCAGGCCUGGCCCCGGCCCCAAGCCAACAAGAGAAACAUGGUCGAAAUACCCUACAGACCAGAAGCCAGCACCUCAGCAGUCAUCUUGAUUCUUCUCUCUCUCUCCCCCGACAUCCCAGCCAUUAACAAGGCCUACAGGUGCCACCUCUGUAUCGCAUCUCAAGCCCGCUUGCGGCUCCUUCUCCGCGUCCACAGCACCACGUUGGUCCAAACUCCAUCCGCUCCUCCUGCAUCAUUGUGAUGGCUUCCCAAUGGCUCCAGAGUCACCGAUCUCUUACUGUGUGCUGAACCACAAGACCUGUGCGAAACUCAGAGAUCCCCAGGGGGAGAAAAGUUCGAGCUUACCCACGUAAACCCUGCAGGAGCAACUGGGCUGGUCAAUAUGUCUAGACUGGGGCCAGGGAGCCCUCCGAGACAUCUCGUGCCAUGUCCUGAGCACAGUCAAAUUCAGCCUUCCGCCACUGACCCUCUCAGCCACCCCCCAAACCUUUUAUGGACUGAAUUCUGAACGAGCCAAAGUGCAACAGUCGAAAACAGCAACAUGUCAUCAGAUUGUGUUAUGAAGAGUAG
rnacentral:lncRNA from 1 species